UACGGAGGGAGCUAGCGUUGUUCGGAAUUACUGGGCGUAAAGCGCACGUAGGCGGCUAUUCAAGUCGGGGGUGAAAGCCCGGGGCUCAACCCCGGAACUGCCCUCGAAACUAGAUAGCUAGAAUCUUGGAGAGGCGAGUGGAAUUCCGAGUGUAGAGGUGAAAUUCGUAGAUAUUCGGAAGAACACCAGUGGCGAAGGCGGCCUUCUGGACAGUGACUGACGCUGAGACGCGAAAGCGUGGGGAGCAAACAGG
rnacentral:rRNA from 1 species